CCUACGGGAGGCAGCAGUGGGGAAUAUUGCACAAUGGGGGAAACCCUGAUGCAGCGACGCCGCGUGAGUGAAGAAGUAUUUCGGUAUGUAAAGCUCUAUCAGCAGGGAAGAAAAUGACGGUACCUGAUUAAGAAGCCCCGGCUAACUACGUGCCAGCAGCCGCGGUAAUACGGAGGGGGCAAGCGUUAUCCGGAUGUACUGGGUGUAAAGGGAGCGUAGACGGCAGCACAAGUCUGGAGUGAAAUGCCGGGGCUUAACCCCGGAACUGCUUUGGAAACUGUGCAGCUUGAGUACCGGAGAAGUAAGCGGAAGGCGUGGUGUAGCGGUGAAAUGCAUAGAUAUUAGGAGGAACACCAGUGGCGAAGGCGGGUUGCUGGACUGUAACUGACACUGAGGCACGAAAGCGUGGGGAGCAAACAGGAUUAGAUACCCCUGUAGUC
rnacentral:rRNA from 1 species